AAAUUGAAGAGUUUGAUCAUGGCUCAGAUUGAACGCUGGCGGCAGGCCUAACACAUGCAAGUCGAACGGUAACAGGAAGCAGCUUGCUGCUUUGCUGACGAGUGGCGGACGGGUGAGUAAUGUCUGGGAAACUGCCUGAUGGAGGGGGAUAACUACUGGAAACGGUAGCUAAUACCGCAUAACGUCGCAAGACCAAAGAGGGGGACCUUCGGGCCUCUUGCCAUCGGAUGUGCCCAGAUGGGAUUAGCUAGUAGGUGGGGUAACGGCUCACCUAGGCGACGAUCCCUAGCUGGUCUGAGAGGAUGACCAGCCACACUGGAACUGAGACACGGUCCAGACUCCUACGGGAGGCAGCAGUGGGGAAUAUUGCACAAUGGGCGCAAGCCUGAUGCAGCCAUGCCGCGUGUAUGAAGAAGGCCUUCGGGUUGUAAAGUACUUUCAGCGGGGAGGAAGGGAGUAAAGUUAAUACCUUUGCUCAUUGACGUUACCCGCAGAAGAAGCACCGGCUAACUCCGUGCCAGCUGCGGCGGUAAUACGGAGGGGUCAAGCGUUGAUCGGAAUGACUGGGCGUAAAGCGCACGCAGGCGGUUUGUUAAGUCAGAUGUGAAGUCCCCGGGCUCAACCUGGGAACUGCUUCUGAUACUGGCAAGCUUGAGUCUCGUAGAGGGGGGUAGAAUUCCAGGUGUAGCGGUGAAAUGCGUAGAGAUCUGGAGGAAUACCGGUGGCGAAGGCGGCCCCCUGGACGAAGACUGACGCUCAGGUGCGAAAGCGUGGGGAGCAAACAGGAUUAGAUACCCUGGUAGUCCACGCCGUAAACGAUGUCGACUUGGAGGUUGUGCCCUUGAGGCGUGGCUUCCGGAGCUAACGCGUUAAGUCGACCGCCUGGGGAGUACGGCCGCAAGGUUAAAACUCAAAUGAAUUGACGGGGGCCCGCACAAGCGGUGGAGCAUGUGGUUUAAUUCGAUGCAACGCGAAGAACCUUACCUGGUCUUGACAUCCACGGAAGUUUUCAGAGAUGAGAAUGUGCCUUCGGGAACCGUGAGACAGGUGCUGCAUGGCUGUCGUCAGCUCGUGUUGUGAAAUGUUGGGUUAAGUCCCGCAACGAGCGCAACCCUUAUCCUUUGUUGCCAGCGGUCCGGCCGGGAACUCAAAGGAGACUGCCAGUGAUAAACUGGAGGAAGGUGGGGAUGACGUCAAGUCAUCAUGGCCCUUACGACCAGGGCUACACACGUGCUACAAUGGCGCAUACAAAGAGAAGCGACCUCGCGAGAGCAAGCGGACCUCAUAAAGUGCGUCGUAGUCCGGAUUGGAGUCUGCAACUCGACUCCAUGAAGUCGGAAUCGCUAGUAAUCGUGGAUCAGAAUGCCACGGUGAAUACGUUCCCGGGCCUUGUACACACCGCCCGUCACACCAUGGGAGUGGGUUGCAAAAGAAGUAGGUAGCUUAACCUUCGGGAGGGCGCUUACCACUUUGUGAUUCAUGACUGGGGUGAAGUCGUAACAAGGUAACCGUAGGGGAACCUGCGGUUGGAUCACCUCCUUACCUUAAAGAAGC
rnacentral:rRNA from 1 species